rnacentral:rRNA from 1 species
UGCCAAUUAAUUUAACUUGGGAGUCAGAACAUGGGUGAUAAGGUCCGUGUUCGAAAGGGAAACAGCCCAGACCACCAGCUAAGGUCCCAAAAUAUAUGUUAAGUGGAAAAGGAUGUGGCGUUGCCCAGACAACUAGGAUGUUGGCUUAGAAGCAGCCAUCAUUUAAAGAGUGCGUAAUAGCUCACUAGUCGAGUGACACUGCGCCGAAAAUGUACCGGGGCUAAACAUAUUACCGAAGCUGUGGAUUGUCCUUUGGACAAUGGUAGGAGAGCGUUCUAAGGGCGUUGAAGCAUGAUCGUAAGGACAUGUGGAGCGCUUAGAAGUGAGAAUGCCGGUGUGAGUAGCGAAAGACGGGUGAGAAUCCCGUCCACCGAUUGACUAAGGUUUCCAGAGGAAGGCUCGUCCGCUCUGGGUUAGUCGGGUCCUAAGCUGAGGCCGACAGGCGUAGGCGAUGGAUAACAGGUUGAUAUUCCUGUACCACCUAUAAUCGUUUUAAUCGAUGGGGGGACGCAGUAGGAUAGGCGAAGCGUGCGAUUGGAUUGCACGUCUAAGCAGUAAGGCUGAGUAUUAGGCAAAUCCGGUACUCGUUAAGGCUGAGC